rnacentral:rRNA from 1 species
GAAUAUUGGACAAUGGGGGAAACCCUGAUCCAGCAAUGCCGCGUGAGUGAUGAAGGCCUUAGGGUUGUAAAGCUCUUUCGCCAGGGAUGAUAAUGACAGUACCUGGUAAAGAAACCCCGGCUAACUCCGUGCCAGCAGCCGCGGUAAUACGGAGGGGGUUAGCGUUGUUCGGAAUUACUGGGCGUAAAGCGCGCGUAGGCGGAUCAGAAAGUUGGGGGUGAAAUCCCAGGGCUCAACCCUGGAACGGCCUCCAAAACUCCUGGUCUUGAGUUCGAGAGAGGUGAGUGGAAUUCCGAGUGUAGAGGUGAAAUUCGUAGAUAUUCGGAGGAACACCAGUGGCGAAGGCGGCUCACUGGCUCGAUACUGACGCUGAGGUGCGAAAGUGUGGGGAGCAAACAGG